rnacentral:misc_RNA from 1 species
GAUUGGAGCAUUUCAUACUUUAGAGUUAGAGCUGCAUCGACCUUUUGUCUUGAGGAAGGUAUGCUUCUUCUUAUCUUCCUUUUUAUCCCUAACAACAUUGAUCCUUUUCCUUAAUUUCUUGAAUUACUCUUUUAAGGCUAAAUGAACUAAAAAACACAAGGAAACUAUCAGUUUUAGCCAAUCGAUUUAAAUUUUACAGAUAUAUUAAGAUCAUGUGGAAGUUAUUCUUGCUCUGAAAACUAGUGGUAACUCCAUAAUCACUAAAAUAAUUUCGUUCAGUGUAUACUAAAAUUGGCAUGUCAAGUUAUCAUAAUUUUUCAUAGCAAAAAUAACAUUUACAAUUGUCAUGAUCUUAGUAUAUUUGUAAAAUUAAAAUGAUUGGCUAAAAUUGACAUUUAUCGAAAAAGUUGUGGCUUUGAUAUGUGACCUUCUAUUUUGGCGAGUUUAAAGCUUUUGUCAUCUGCUUGCUUACUUACUUUUGGAUAAUGCAUCUCAGGAAAUUUGGGACUCAUUGGCAUUAGAUGUACUCAAUCGAGCCUCUGGUAUUUUGUUUUGAUUUGUGCCUUUCUUAGUAGUUCUUUUCCGAGGGCAAGCUGUUAUCAUCACUUGAAUGCAUAUCUGUAUGAAAAUAAUUUCUUUAGAAGUUUCACGUUGUUGAUUAUUUAGGAUCUUAUGCCUUAACUAUAAGGUUUACUUAAGUUAUAUUAAGCUUCUUGUAGUUAGGAUUGACACUGGCUAUUAACAAUUUACUGUUGGUGCAGCAGGUUAUUGCAAUUGUAUGCUUUUUUAAGUUGGAAUAGUGAGAAUCA